UUAUGAGCUGUUCAGUGGUCACAUAAGAAGUGAUCAAGUCUCAUCAAAGCUGGAAGGCAGUUGUAUAAUCUAGCUUUGCCUUUAUUUCCCUCUCUUUUCCUAGACUCUUCCCAUUCUCCCCAGCAGUAGAAGGAGGAGACAGGACAAGCCCGAACAGGCCUAGAUGGUCAGGCCUAGAGACAGGAGUUCCAAUUUGACCUCAGACAUUUUCUAACUGUGUAACUCUGGACAAAUCACUUAAUUCUCAUUGCCUAGGCCUUACCACUCUUCUGCCUUAUAACCAAUAUACGGUAUUGUUUCCAAGACAAAAGAGAGAGAUGACUUCUAAUGCUCUCUACCCAUCCCCUCUGAAGAAGAAUGUAGCCUCCUGGGACAGACUGGGAUUGGCAGGGUUUACCUCAGUCUCUA
rnacentral:lncRNA from 1 species